rnacentral:rRNA from 1 species
UACGUAGGUGGCAAGCGUUAUCCGGAUUUACUGGGUGUAAAGGGCGUGUAGGCGGGGCUGCAAGUCAGAUGUGAAAACCACGGGCUCAACCUGUGGCCUGCAUUUGAAACUGUAGUUCUUGAGUACUGGAGAGGCAGACGGAAUUCCUAGUGUAGCGGUGAAAUGCGUAGAUAUUAGGAGGAACACCAGUGGCGAAGGCGGUCUGCUGGACACCAACUGACGCUGAGGCGCGAAAGCGUGGGGAGCAAACAGG